AUACGGAGGGUGCAAGCGUUAAUCGGAAUUACUGGGCGUAAAGCGCGCGUAGGCGGUUUGGUUAGUCAGAUGUGAAAGCCCCGGGCUUAACCUGGGAAUUGCAUUUGAUACUGCCGGACUAGAGUAUGGUAGAGGGAAGUGGAAUUCCACAUGUAGCGGUGAAAUGCGUAGAUAUGUGGAGGAACACCAGUGGCGAAGGCGGCUUCCUGGACCAAUACUGACGCUGAGGUGCGAAAGCGUGGGGAGCAAACAGGAUUAGAAACCCGGGUAGUCC
rnacentral:rRNA from 1 species